AUCACUGUAGCUUAAUUUUACCAUGGUCACUAAACGCAACUUACCUUGGGGUCGUGGUCGUGCACCCCGGGGUACAGCAGUCAGUCCUUGCUGUCCCCUUGUGAGAAGUAUGUGUGUCUGUAAUCCAAGAUUUCCGGGAGAGAUGGCCUGCUCUUUUCUCUGAAGCUCAGAUCAAGGAGGAAUUCAAAAGAAUCACAACGGUUCCCUUGGAAAUAACUUUUUUCACUAAGCUGGACUUCUACACUCCAAAAAUGCAGGAGAUAUUCAGCAAAAAAGGCGGAGUAGCUGGGACCAAAAUACGACCACUUCUGGAUUCACUCUGCCAGCGACAUGUUGAAGCGAGACGGGAAGCCAUUAUUCGCGCCCUGAUGGAAUUCCUGGGGGAGUCUUCAGGGGAACUCAUCAAGAACUACAAGUGUAGCGGGUGUUGCUGCGAGCCCGUCCAAAAGCACUCACAGGCGGUCAGUCUCUCAGUAGCCUCGCGCAG